AGUGAACGCUGGCGGUAGGCCUAACACAUGCAAGUCGAACGGCAGCACAGUAAGAGCUUGCUCUUACGGGUGGCGAGUGGCGGACGGGUGAGGAAUACAUCGGAAUCUACUUUUUCGUGGGGGAUAACGUAGGGAAACUUACGCUAAUACCGCAUACGACCUACGGGUGAAAGCAGGGGAUCUUCGGACCUUGCGCGAUUGAAUGAGCCGAUGUCGGAUUAGCUAGUUGGCGGGGUAAAGGCCCACCAAGGCGACGAUCCGUAGCUGGUCUGAGAGGAUGAUCGGCCACACGGGAACUGAGACACGGUCCAGACUCCUACGGGAGGCAGCAGUGGGGAAUAUUGGACAAUGGGCGCAAGCCUGGUCCAGCCAUACCGCGUGGGUGAAGAAGGCCUUCGGGUUGUAAAGCCCUUUUGUUGGGAAAGAAAAGCAGCAGGUUAAUACCCCGCUGUUCUGACGGUACCCAAAGAAUAAGCACCGGCUAACUUCGUG
rnacentral:rRNA from 1 species